rnacentral:rRNA from 1 species
UACGGAGGAUGCGAGCGUUAUCCGGAUUUACUGGGUGUAAAGGGCGUGCAGCCGGGCUGACAAGUCAGAUGUGAAAUCCCGCGGCUCAACCGCGGAACUGCAUUUGAAACUGUCAGUCUUGAGUACCGGAGAGGUCAUCGGAAUUCCUUGUGUAGCGGUGAAAUGCGUAGAUAUAAGGAAGAACACCAGUGGCGAAGGCGGAUGACUGGACGGCAACUGACGGUGAGGCGCGAAAGCGUGGGGAGCAAACAGG